rnacentral:rRNA from 1 species
GACGAACGCUGGCGGCGUGCUUAACACAUGCAAGUCGAACGAUGACGCCCGAGCUUGCUCGGUCUGAUUAGUGGCGAACGGGUGAGUAACACGUGAGCAACCUGCCCUUCACUCUGGGAUAACCUCGGGAAAUCGGGGCUAAUACCGGAUAUGAGCUCCUGUCGCAUGGCGGGUGUUGGAAAGUUUUUCGGUGAAGGAUGGGCUCGCGGCCUAUCAGUUUGUUGGUGAGGUAGUGGCUCACCAAGGCGAUGACGGGUAGCCGGCCUGAGAGGGCGACCGGCCACACUGGGACUGAGACACGGCCCAGACUCCUACGGGAGGCAGCAGUGGGGAAUAUUGCACAAUGGGCGAAAGCCUGAUGCAGCGACGCCGCGUGAGGGAUGACGGCCUUCGGGUUGUAAACCUCUUUCGGCAGGGAAGAAGCGAAAGUGACGGUACCUGCAGAAGAAGCGCCGGCUAACUACGUG